rnacentral:lncRNA from 1 species
GGAGAUUGAGAGCACUUGAGGACAACGCGUACAAGUCACUGCGAUUUCAAGUAGGUGAAAAUUUCGUCCUCUUCUUUUGCUGAUUUCUUGUUAUCAUUGUGUAGAUCUCGUGUAGUAGAGCAUGCUGAUAGGUUUAGAUUUAAAAAUGGAUGAGAAAUGAGCAUGUGGUGAUGAAUUAAAGUUUUGAUGUUAAUAAUGUUUUUGCUCGAUCCGUAGAAUCCAUGAGGUUUUAGGUUGUUUUA